AGAAUUCCAGUUUGGUCUAAUUUAGGAAGGAAGAUCUGCCUACUAUGGGUGGCACCAUUCAUGAGCUAAACUGAAGAGGAAAGAAAACUGAGGAUCUGCAUAAAUUAACAGUUCUCUGUUUCCUGGUUGGUGAUGAUUAUUCCUAAGGAAACCCAAGGAAGGCAACUUCAUGAAGCAUGGAGUACUGGUUCCAUGCAUGCUAAAAAAAAAAAAAAAUAAUAAAUCUACCAACAACUGUGAGUGAAACAAAAUUAAAGGGCAGAGAAAUGGCUACAUGGGUAAAGGAUUGCUUUUUAUAAGGAGAUGCAACAUCAUCUGUCAGCAACAUCUAUGGUCUGAAGUACUUGAAUGGAUAAGGAUGAUGAUGAUGAUGAUGAUGAUGAUGAUAAGGAGGAGGAGGAGCAGGAGUAGGAAGAGAAGGAGGAGGGCUGACCAGUGAUGAUGGAUUUUAUGAUGAAUAGUACUCAAAAAGAAAAAAAUUAAAAACAAAUAAAAGCUAAAGUUCUGCUCU
rnacentral:lncRNA from 1 species